rnacentral:rRNA from 1 species
UACGAAGGGUGCAAGCGUUACUCGGAAUUACUGGGCGUAAAGCGUGCGUAGGUGGUUUGUUAAGUCUGUUGUGAAAGCCCCGGGCUCAACCUGGGAAUGGCAAUGGAUACUGGCAGGCUUGAGUGCGGUAGAGGGUAGUGGAAUUCCCGGUGUAGCGGUGAAAUGCGUAGAGAUCGGGAGGAACACCAGUGGCGAAGGCGGCUACCUGGACCAGCACUGACACUGAGGCACGAAAGCGUGGGGAGCAAACAGG